rnacentral:rRNA from 1 species
AACGAACGCUGGCGGCAGGCCUAACACAUGCAAGUCGAGCGCCCUCUUCGGAGGGAGCGGCGGACGGGUUAGUAACGCGUGGGAACGUGCCCAGAUCUAAGGAAUAGCCACUGGAAACGGUGAGUAAUACCUUAUACGCCCUUCGGGGGAAGAUUUAUCGGAUUUGGAUCGGCCCGCGUUAGAUUAGGUAGUUGGUGGGGUAAUGGCCUACCAAGCCUACGAUCUAUAGCUGGUUUUAGAGGAUGAUCAGCAACACUGGGACUGAGACACGGCCCAGACUCCCACGGGAGGCAGCAGUGGGGAAUCUUGGACAAUGGGGGCAACCCUGAUCCAGCCAUGCCGCGUGAGUGAUGAAAGG